UGUGCGACUUGUUCCCCUAUAUAAAUUGAUUCUUAUUUUUUAAUCAUCGGCAGAGUUUAGUAGAAUUUUCUUAAAAGCGCAUAAAGAACGUUUUAAAUUCUCAAGGAAAAUACUCUUAGUUAAAAAUAACAAAUUCCGUUAAAAAAAAGAAAAUGAAUCGUACCUGUUUAAUUUUACUCACUGUCCUUGCAUUUCUCACCAUUGGCGGAAUGUCACAAAAUCUUGGAUGUGAUUUUAAUUGUUGGCUCAAUGAUUGGAGAUCACGUGACAAUAUCUGUGGUAAUGGACCAAAAUAUUCUUAUCCUGGACCAAUUCACGGCACUUGCUAUUGUUGCUCAUUAACGCCAACUGGAUAAAGAAAUAAAUACAAUUAGACGCCUGCUUGAUAAAAAAAAUUACUAUUAGAAGCCUGAUAAAAAAAUUUGAUAAACAAAAUUACAAUUAGACAAAAUUACGAUUUGAUAAAAGAAAAAAAAAGAAAGAAACUGUAACGAACGUGACCUCAAAGUUGAAUUUUAAGAUAAAUAUUAUUGAGAAUUAUUUUUUUUAAUUUAUCCGCACAAGUGGAGAAUAAAUAAAAUAAAUAUCUUUAAAAGAGUCUUUAAUUAGAUAUCCCUUCUUAUUUUUUUCUAAAAGAAGAAAAGAAAUAAAAAAAUUGUCACUGCUCUCUAUAUAAUGACAAAGUUUUUAAUAAAAUCAUAAAUUUAGAUUUUAUUCCUUCGAAUUUACAACACAGAAAAUAUUUCAUUUAUGAAGAUUUGGAUAAAAAAAUGAAUCGUACCUGUUUAAUGAUUAUUUUCACUAUUUUGACGAUGACUUUUAUUGCCGAUGGAUUAUUAUAUCCGAGUUUUUGUGAUAUUAGCUGCAAUUGCUGGCGAAAUAAUCAACAAGCACGAGAUUCCGUUUGUCUCGAUGAUCCGGGAAAAUAUUCUUAUCCUCUGCCAUUUAAUCAGGGUUUUUGUUAUUGCUGCCCAUUGAUUCCCAGUUCGAUAAAAAUUUACAAUCUGUAAAAAUAAUUCUACAUUUUAAAAAUACUUUAUUAUUAUUAUUAUUAUUUUUGUAAACUAAACGAUGUAAAUUAUAUUAAAAAAUUUCGUUUGUAUACAUGAAUAAACUAAUAGACGAUUAUUGUAAAUCUUGUAAA